rnacentral:lncRNA from 1 species
CUACUACUACUUCUUCAGUUUCCACAGUUGUGUGUUGAGCAACAAGUUUAGAUCCAAACAUCUCUGAAACCUUACAAGAUUCAAAUUUGGAUCUGGAUCAAAUGGUGUGACAUAUCUAUUUCUGAUAAAUGGAUAAUUCAGCGUGCAAAGAGUGCGUGCACACACAGACAGACGCGCACACAUGUCGAUACACAAACAAAGAGCUGGUGGCCUGAAUAUGAAUCGUGUCUUACCAGCAAAUCCAGCAUUUGGAAUCGUUUGCAUAACCAUUUCCAGCCUUGGCUCACUUCUGUUCUGAAUAAGCAGUCAAGGAGUUUGGGUACUUUUCAGUCCCUUAUGGGCUGGCAGCACAGAGAGAAGGAUCUGAUCUGUUUAACUUCUGUUAGCCUGUACGGAUGCACCUCCCUAGAGGCAGAAAUGUGAAGCUAUCUUCAUCCCUAUCAGAAAAACUCCAGAGUACUGCUUUGGUGGGAAAAAAUGCUCAGUGCUUCAAGCACCCAAGCCUUCCCUAACCUGGGAGCAGGUGCAUGCUGUCUCAUAAAAGUGGAGUGCUCUGAACAUCACUUCAAGCUUUAGAGGGUCUCUGACUGAUGCAGCUGAACACUUCAUGCCUCCCCAGACCCUCCGCUAUACAACACAAGCUGGUGCUAAAGCUCUGCUGCACUGCAGACACUUCCUAUAAGAGUCCCCAAAUGUGUAGUUAGUGCUCAGGAUCACACCAGCUAGUGCACCACCUAACUUUCAUCAGCAGGUUUGUGGCUACGAUUUAUUUUUCUUCCAUCUGGAUGUGAUUUUAGAGCGUUACAGAAACCUGAGGUGGAGACAAGCAGCCUUCUGAUUCAUUU